rnacentral:rRNA from 1 species
CCUACGGGAGGCAGCAGUGGGGGAUAUUGGACAAUGGGGGAAACCCUGAUCCAGCGACGCCGCGUGAGUGAAGAAGUAUUUCGGUAUGUAAAGCUCUGUCAGCAGGGAAGAAAGAAAUGACGGUACCUGACCAAGAAGCCCCGGCAAACUACGUGCCAGCAGCCGCGGUAAUACGUAGGUGGCUAGCGUUGUCCGGAAUUACUGGGCGUAAAGGGAGUGUAGACGGCUUGUCAAGUUAAGUGUGAAAGCCUGCGGCUUAACCGUAGAAUUGCACUUAAAACUGACUCGCUAGAGUGCAGGAGAGGUGAGUGGAAUUCCUAGUGUAGCGGUGGAAUGCGUAGAUAUUAGGAGGAACACCAGAGGCGAAGGCGGCUCACUGGACUGUAACUGACGUUGAGGCUCGAAAGCGUGGGGAGCAAACAGGAUUAGAUACCCUGGUAGUC